UACAGAGGUCCCGAGCGUUGUUCGGAUUCACUGGGCGUAAAGGGUGCGUAGGUGGCGCCGUAAGUGGGGUGUGAAAUCCCGGGGCUUAACCCCGGGACUGCAUUCCAUACUGCGGUGCUUGAGGACUGGAGAGGAGACUGGAAUUUACGGCGUAGCAGUGAAAUGCGUAGAGAUCGUAAGGAAGACCAGUGGCGAAGGCGGGUCUCUGGACAGUUCCUGACACUGAGGCACGAAGGCCAGGGGAGCAAACGGG
rnacentral:rRNA from 1 species